UUUCCGUAGGUGAACCUGCGGAAGGAUCAUUAUCGAGUUUUGACUGGGUUGUAGUUGGCCUUCCGAGGCAUGUGCACGCCCUGCUCAUCCACUCUACACCUGUGCACUUACUGUGGGUAUCAGAUCGUGAAGCGUGCUCUUUUACCGGAGCUUGUGAAGCGUGUCUGUGCCUGCGUUUAUCACAAACACUAUGAAGUAUCAGAAUGUGUAUUACGAUGUAACACAUCUAUAUGCAACUUUCAGCAACGGAUCUCUUGGCUCUC
rnacentral:misc_RNA from 1 species